UGGGAAUAGCGAACACGAGCCGCGCAGAGCCUCUCCUUGACAGAGAGGCGCACCUAUGCCUAUUACGGUAAUUGCACACGCUUCUACAGUGUUUUCGGAUGGGCAGGCAUAUGUAGGCGUCAAGCUGCCGCCAGCUCCCGGAAUGAGGAUGAUUUUGCCUCCCCAAAAAGUUUCACCAUUUGCUCCGAAACAGUUGCCAAAAGUCCUACUUCAUUCACUGUACCACCUCUUACUGCCUGGAAGUGAUAUAGUCUGCACUCAGUGGAGCAACU